UACGUAGGGGGCUAGCGUUGUCCGGAUUUAUUGGGCGUAAAGAGCGUGUAGGCGGCCAGGUAGGUCUGCUGUGAAAACUCGAGGCUCAACCUCGAGACGUCGGCGGAAACCAUCUGGCUAGAGUCCGGAAGAGGAGAGUGGAAUUCCGGUGUAGCGGUGAAAUGCGUAGAGAUCGGAAGGAACGUCAAUGGCGAAGGCAGCCACCUGGCAUCGAUACUGACGCUGAGGCGCGAAAGCGUGGGGAGCGAACAGG
rnacentral:rRNA from 1 species